rnacentral:rRNA from 1 species
AUGGCCUUCUCGCGCCUUCUCCCCUCCCGCCGCCUCCUCUCCGCCCUCCUCCACACCCCGACCCCGAUCCCCGCCGCGCGCGUCACCGGCGCCGCCGCCGCCACCGCCACCCUGUCCGCCCACACCCUCCAUCCCGCGCGCUUCUUCUCCGCGACGAGGCGGCUCGGGCCGGGCGCCCCGCGGCAGCGUGCGGCGGACAUCGGCGCGCGGGCGCGGCAGCUGCAGAGCCGGCGCCUCUGGACCUACGCGCUCACCUUCGGCUGCGCGGCCGGGUUCGUGGUCACCGUGCUCGCCACGUUCCAGGACCAGCUCGUCUUCUACCUCACCCCCACCGACGCGCUCGCGCGCUUCGCCACCGACCCCUCCAAGACCCGCUGCCGGCUCGGCGGGCUCGUCCUCGAGGGCUCCGUCGCCCAUCCCUCUUCCUCCUCCUCCGAGAUCGAGUUCGUCGUCACCGACCUCGUCACCGACGUCCUCGUCCGCUACGAGGGCGCCCUCCCCGACCUCUUCCGCGAGGGCCACUCCGUCGUCGUCGAGGGGUUCCUCAAGCCACUGACGGACGAUCUCCGCCGCGACUGGGCGGGGAGAAAGGUCUCCGAUAAGGCGCUGGAGGGCCAGUGCUUCUUGCGUGGCACGGAGGUGCUCGCCAAGCACGACGAGAAGUACAUGCCCAAGGAGGUCGGCGAGGCGAUCGAGCGCAACAAGAAGCAGAUCGAGGCGGAUGCGGCUGCCGCCGCCGCUGAGGAGAACGCGGCGGUUGCGGUGGAUGGAGCCAAAGCAAACUCGUAA